GGACUGCUACUGACUCACUUAAGAAGACUGCUGCUAAUGAUGAUAUUACUCAGCCAAGACAUGCUUUAAGGACUGCUACUGAUUCUUAGAAGAAGACUGCUGCUAAUGAUGAUAUUACCCAGCCUAAAUGUACUCUAAG